rnacentral:rRNA from 1 species
GAUGAACGCUGGCGGCGUGCCUAAUACAUGCAAGUCGAGCGAACGGACGAGAAGCUUGCUUCUCUGAUGUUAGCGGCGGACGGGAGAGUAACACGUGGAUAACCUACCUAUAAGACUGGGAUAACUUCGGGAAACCGGAGCUAAUACCGUAUAAUCUUUUGAACCGCAUGGUUCAAAAGUGAAAGACGGUCUUGCUGUCAGUUAUCGCUGGAUCCGCGCUGCAUUAGCUAGUUGGUAAGGUAACGGCUUACCAAGGCAACGAUGCAUAGCCGACCUGAGAGGGUGCUCGGCCACACGAGAACUGAGACACGGUCCAGACUCCUACGGGAGGCAGCAGUAGGGAAUCUUCCGCAAUGGGCGAAAGCCUGACGGAGCAACGCCGCGCGAGUGAUGAAGGUCCUCGGAGCGUAAAACUCUGUUAUUAGGGAAGAACAUAUGUGUAAGUAACCGUGCACAUCUUGACGGUACCUAAUCAAAAAGCCACGGCUAACUACGUG